rnacentral:lncRNA from 1 species
GCUUCUUUGGUGGUGGUGGAGAGUGGUAGUAGGGCUUAGGGCUGACGUGAUGCACUGGUGGAGGAGGAGAGGAAUAUUUGUAUGGCUUCUUUGGUGGUGGUGGGGAAUGGUAGUAAGGUUUAGGGCUUAACAUGCACUGGUGGUGGAGGAGAAGAAUAUUUGUAUGGUUUCUUUGGGGGUGGUGGAGAAUGGUAGUAAGGUUUAGGGUGGACAUAUGGUGGAGGAGGAGAAGAAUACUUGUAAGGUUUCUUUGGUGGUGGUGGUGGUGAACUGUAAUGGUAGGGAGGAGGAGGUGUAUAAACGGUGGGGGUGGAGAGUGGUAGUAGUAUGGUUUCUUAGGUGGUGAGUACACUGGUGGUGGUGGUGAAGAGUAAUGGUAAGGUGGUUUAACUGGAGGGUACACCCCCGGUGGUGGGGAAUGUGGAGGGUACACCUUAGGUGGUGGUGGAGAACUAUAAUGGUAAGGUGGUGAGACUGGUGGAUACACCUCAGGUGGUGGUGAAUGUGGAGGGUAUUUCUUAGGUGGUGGUGGGGAAGAGUAAUGGUAAGGUGGUUUAACUGGUGGGUACACCUUGGGUGGUGGUGAAUGUGGAGGGUACACCUUAGGAGGUGGUGGUGAAGAGUAAUGGUAAGGUGGUGAAACUGGAGGAUACACCUUAGGUGGUGGUGAAUGAGGAGGAUACUUCUUAGGUGGUGGUGGUGAAGAGUAAUGGUAAGGUGGUGAAACUGGAGGGUACACCUUAGGUGGUGGUGAAUGUGGAGGGUACACCUUAGGUGGUGGUGGUGAAGGGUAGUGGUAAGGUGGGGAAACUGGAGGGUAGACCUUAGAAGGUGGAGGAGGUGAAGAAUACAAGUAGCUGUUUGCUGAAAUUUGAGAUGUAUGGAGAGAGACACUAUUAUGGCUAAUAGAAGAGUCAAAGUGGCAGAGGCCAUUGGAGACCUCAUUUUUUUUUUUUUGUUCUCUUGUUGCCUUAACCUCACUAGAUAGUGGGAUUUUGAUAUGCUAUAAUGUAACCAAGUGAUGCCCUUUAUAUAGAUCUUUUAUUUACCUACUAGUACUAAUCAUGUUGGUUGGUAACUUUGUUUUCAACUUGUCAAAAUUUUGUUGCCAAUAAGGCGUUGCCGUAUCUUUUUUUAAUUAAAAGUCAAUAAUAUUCAAACACAAGUUUUCAUUAAACAAAAACUAACUUACUUUUCUGAAUAGGUUGAUUUAAUUGGAAAAAAGGGAGGAUAAUUUAUACAAAAAGAGAAGUUGUAUUCCCUAUAUUCGGUAUCAUAAAAAGAAGAGAAACAAUUAUUAAAGCAAAUUUUGGUUAUUUUAUUUUAAUCAAUUUUUUAAAAUUAUUAAAAUGGACAGUGUUUAAUUAAACCAUUUUUUACCUCAAUAUCCCAAGUGAGCUUUGGAGUGCGUAUUUGGAUUUGAUGUAGGCUGCAAGCUUUUAGCAGGAAAUAAAAUAUCUUGAAAUAUCUCAAAAUAAAACAAAAUGGACAGAAAUCCGUAAGUGUAGUUCAGUUGAUAGCUACCAGAGAUAAUGUUUAUAAGGGUUGGGGUUCAAAUCCCAAAUUCCCCACACUAGACUAUUGAAAAAAAAAAAAAAAAAAAAGACAGAAAAUAUAAAAUGUGUUAAAUUGAUGUAGAUUAUUGGAGGUGUUAAAAAAUCAUCAUUGUAUUCUAAUGCCUAAUUUAUCUUCUCCACAUAUCUUUUACUGUUCUUGAAAAAUGCAUGCAUAGAGACCUAACUUCGUGCUAUAUUCGUCUGUCCCUUGAAGACUUUUCAAAAAGACUCGUACACCAGGGCCCAUAUGCAUGGCAUAGCAGCCUCAAUUAUAGGACGAUAAUUUUACGUGAAAUUUUUAUUAUUACUUUAUACAAAUAUUUAUUUAUUUAUUAAAAUUUUACAUAUUUACUUUUUUAAAGUAUAGACAGAAAUUUUUUCAUUUAAGUAAAAUUAAUUUCGAUGUUAUUAAUUCAUUUCCUUUCAUCCUAUCAAAUUAAUGAAUACUAUCCUUGUUGGUAGGCAGAGUCUAGAAUAUUCUAGAUUAGUAUAUACACUUCUAGCUACCUAUCACAAAUUUUGCAUGCAUUUAAAUGAUUUAUCAUGGCAUCGUCUCAGGCUUGGUCCUUUUCAGAUAAAGACAAAAGUUAUGUCUCUGUUUACUUUUAAGCCAAAGUUUUUUUUUACUCUUGUGUAAAGUAAAGUAUAUGACUUUUGAUAUACGGAUAGGAUUCUGGGUUCAAUUGGAUAUAAUUUACCCCGAGGUAUAUAACUAUUUUCUUAUAUUGUUGUUGCUUUUCUAAAACUAUCAAUAAUGAAAGAGAAAUGAUAUUUGUACAACCAUUUUUUAUAAUUUUUAGAUAAAAAUUUCUCUUUCAUAUUCACAUUAUAUUCUUACCCUCUCUCUUCCUUUUUCUCUCUCCUUUGUUUUUAACCAAUGAAAAAAGAGAAAAAGAAGGUUGUCAAAAAGGUUGUACCAAAUGGUUGUUCAAAUAUCAUUGCUCUAAUGGAAAGGUCUUAAUAUCAUCUUUAUUUAGUCUCGUUUUGGAAAAGUGAUUUAAAAUCUGAUCCGAUCAUAACGAUUUUUACAUAAUAACAUAGAAACGCAUAAAAAAAAUAUUCGAUUUUUUAUGAUUUUUUUGUUUUUUGAUCGAUUUGCAGUUUUAUUUUGAAUCGGCUUGUAUUUGAACACCCCUACUUCUUACUCAUCCACACAAGGUAACUCGAAUCAAGGUUGAGAAGAAUAAUUAUUUGUUGAAUCUACCAUUUGUGGUGGACUAAUCUUUUAAAUUUCUCGUAAUAGUUCUUUUUACUUUCAUUCAGGUAUUCCUUAUCUGUUUCUGAUGUAACUUGAUUUUUCUCUUUGCUUCUCUCUAGUAUACUUUGUGUAGGGCAAGAAGUAAAGAGGUUUAGUUAUGGAAAUUCCAUAUUAGCUUUUUUAAAAUAAAAAAAAAUAGAACAAUUUGUUUCACCAUUUAAUUUUUAUAAUUAUAUUAUAAAUAGAGAGAUUAAAGUAAAGUUGACUAAAAAAUUCGAGUAGCUAAUAAGCUCGUACUUCCUCUAAUUCUUAUUAUACGAGAAAAUUUGUUUUUCAGAUUCAUUCACUAAAUAAUGUACCAUGUUUCUAAUAUAAAAUAAAUACAUCAUUUAUUGAAUCUAAAAAAUCAACUUUCUUUGAUAAUUGAGACCCAGGGUAGAACAUGGCAAGGGUUGAUUAUAGAAAAAUGCUAAAGAGUGUCUACACUUAAAAUGGUAAGAAAUUUUGAAAAUCUAUAUAACUAUUGCAUUAGAAAUAAAACUCUUUGACUUUUUAAUGAAUUUCUAAAUUAUAAAUUAUUAAAAAAUGUCAUAGAGACACUUGUUAGCGAUAUGAUCUGUUAUACUCUAUAGGUCGCGUCCUUUUUUUUUUUUUUGACAAGUGGGUCGCGUACCUAUUCUUAAUCAAUCAAAAAUAUGUUGGAUAACAUAUUUAAUUCACCGUUGAACAAGAAUAAUGUUUUUUUAUUUAUUGUAUCAAAGAAUAAUGUAUUUUAUUCACCGUACUAAUAUUAUAAAAAAAAAUAAAAAAAAUCGACCGUCGUUCUUUUAAUUUUUCUGUCCUAAAAAAAUACUCAGUUUAAACGAGCAAGCAUAUAUUUUCAAUAUCUAAUUUUUUUCUCAAUUUAUAUUCCACUCAUAUCAUAUCAUAUAAUAUACUUAUUUUUGGUCAAAAAAAAUAUAAUAUACUUAUUUAUAACAUUAAUCACAUCGUUGACUUAUUUCUUUCUCUUUCAAGAUACUGAGGAGAUUUUCUUUAUAAAAAAAAAAAAAAAAAAAUCCAUAUUGAGGAGAUGUAUGCAUAUGUACACAAAUCAUUAAAAGUGUAAUUGAGUUGUGUAAAACACAAAAAACUGCAGAGAUGGGAACAAAUAAAUUAAUAGAAACGGCAGCUUAGUUCAUGCUCUUACAUCAGUAAAAAAUUAGGUGGGAGUUAUUAUUUUUCCACAGAUUAGCAUAUAUAUACCCCACAGGUCCAUAUCAUUUUUCCCCUUAAAAAAAGUCCAUGUUACUUUUGUUUCAAUGUAUCCAAACUAGGAAAAGUCCGGAAAAUUAGAUUUUACCUAGGCAACAACACAUCACCAUUAAUUAUUUUUUCCAUUUUUUUAGUUUUCCAUGUUUUAAGAUUUUUUAUCUUUACUAAAAGAAUCAAUAAAUUCUAAUAUCUAUCUCAUUACACCUAUUUUUUUGUUACAUGAGAUAAAAAAGAACAAAGACACAAAAAAAUGAAAAGAAAAAAAUUAUGCCCUAAUAAAGUACACAUCAACCUUAUCCCCGUGAGCUUAACUCAGUUGGUAGGGAUAUUGCAUAUUAUAUGCAAGGGCCGGGGUUCGAACCCCGGACACCCCACUUCUCCACAAUUAAAUUGUGUGAACUCUAGCCACUAGACUACUUGACCAAAAAAAAAGUACACAUCAACCGUGUCAAGUAAUAAAUUAAGCCCUAAUAAGAAGAAAAAAAAAACAAAAAAUUAAGCCCUAAUAAAUUCCAAUAUCUCAUCACAACUAUUUUUUACGAGGGAAACAUGUCUAAUGUAGAUAAAAUAUAAUUGGUGCAAGUUUGUGAAUUUAGAUUAUGUUUUUUAAGAAGGUAAACUAAAUUAUCAAAAUUGACAUAAAAGAUAAUCAAACAUGAGACUCGAAAUAUACUUUCACAGUUUUUAAAAUUUCAAUUCAAAUUUAGAUUAUAUUCGAUUACAUCUAGAUCACAAAAGUAUAAAUUGAAAAAAUAUAAAAAAAAAAAAAAAAAAACUUUCUAAGAGCAUUACAACUUUAAUGUUAGAGGUGGCCUUUAAUUUGUUUAACCGUGUGUAGUUUUUGUUUUGUUUCGUUUUUGUUUGUUUUUCAUCCUUUUAUUUUGGGUUAGAUUUUUCUUCUCCUUGUAUUUUUUUUUUCUCAUUUAUUUUGAUAUAUUUUAAAAUUAUAAAGAACAACAGCAAUAAUAAUAAAUUAAUUGCCCUUAAAACAUUUUAAAACCGUCACUAGCAAGUUAAGGGAAGUCACCAACCACACAAUAAUGACCCUUAGGAUAGUUUAUUGAUUUAAGUCAUCAGAAGUAAGAAGAAAGAAGAAAGGGAAGGCACCAACCCAAACAAUGAUAUUCGAUGAUCAUGACUAAAAAAGGUUUAACUUUCAUAUCCAACCCCUGCAUAUGCAUAUGCUUGACUUUAAUAUUGGGAUAUGAUCCAAUAUUUUGCAUCAUGCAUAAGUUAUUUUUUUCAUCGUUAGAUAAAAAAAAUGUCACACCAUUGCACCAAAAAAAAUCACAUUAAAUUUAAGGGUUAAAUAUGUUAUUGGUCCCUAUAAAUAUACCAAUUUUUCGUUUUAGUCUCUCUAAAAUUUUCCUUCAACUUUUAGUCCCUAAAAAAUUUUCCAUCUUCACUUUUGGUCCUUCUUUUAAAGUAAACUCAUAUGUAGAAUUCAUAUUUUUGAAUCAAAUUUUUCAGAAAAAUUCAUAAUAUUAUAAGAAUCUCUCCCAAAAAAAUUAGAACUUUUUAACAAAACAUGAAUUUAAUAUGAAUUUUUAUAUUAUUUAUGGUUAAAAAUUCAUAUAUAAUUUAUGUUUACUUAAAAAAUUCUAAUUUUUUUUUUGAAAUGUUUUUACAAUAUUCUACACAUUUGUGUACAAUUUCAUUAAAAAAAAAAUACUAAAAUUUACUUUGAAAUAGGGACCAAAAGUAGUGACUCAAAAUUUUACAGGGACUAAAAGUUGAAGGAAAAUUUAAGAGGGACUAAAACGAAAAGUUGCUAUAUUUAUAGGGACCAAAAACAUAUUUAACCCUAAAUUUAAUAGUAAAAUAUAUUGAUCCGAUAAUAAAAACUAAUUUAUGUAUGUUGUAAAAUUUGUUUCAUUUAUAUACAGUAGGAUUGACAUAUCAUUUGCUAGAGUAAUGUUUCUUGGACACCUUAUAUAUGUAUGGCACACUUAUUUUACACUAAAAAAUAAAAUAUUUAAUAUAUAAAAACUGUUUUUUUUUCCUUCGAAAUGAUAAAAAUUGUUUAUUUUUUAUAAUAAUAUCACUUAUGGUGGAAGACGGCCGAAAACAUGCCAUAACAUAGAGCUCCAUCGACCAUCGAAACUUCACCAUCGAUCAUCGUUGAGUCACUAAAGCUCUUCCACCGACCACCUUGGAUCGUUAGAACUCCACACCAUCGGCCAGCCACCAUCAAUAUUGAGGUGUCAAACAAGUGUCCCUAUAUAUGAACCGUUUACAAAGGAAGAAACAUAACAAUGUAAAGGGUUAGAAAAUGCUUUGGAAGAGAAGAUAACAAAAACAAAACAUAGAGGAAGAAAGCAGAGUAUCUGAAAGAGAUGAGCACAUGAUCUGCGACGACAACAGAGGAAGAGAUGAAGAGCUCGUGUGAGAAGAUAAAGAGUUUGAAAAAUUUAGGGUGUAUAUUAAAACAAAAAGUUGAAAUAUUUAUAGAGACUAAAAACAUAUUUAAUCAACAAAAGUUUAUAAAGAGUUGCAUUGCACCCUUCAUCUUACAAACCGAUUUUAUGUGGUUGAGUUGCACUCAAUAUAAAAACCUAAUAUGGUAAUCGUUUGGGACCAUCUAUCAUUUAUAUCCACGCAUCAAACUCAAUAAUGUCAGGUGUGAUUUUAUAUUUUAUAAAGAGCGACUUCCAUCACCAUACAUAUCAGUUUUGUAAGAAUGCCGACUGAACAUAAAAACCUAAUAUCUAGUUACAUAUUUCAUUAAAAUAACACAUUUUGCACAUAUCACACAUCCAUUAUUUAUCCAAAAAAAAAAUCACACAUCCAUUAUACUUUUGCGCUUAAACCAUUAUAUUUUACAACUAAAUUAUAUAUUUUAUCUGUCUCAUUAUAAAUGUAUUAUUCGUUUUUUAUGUCUCAAAACUUUAAAAUAUCAAUAAACAAUUGAUUUACUUUUUAUUAGCCUAAAAAAAGUAAAAUUAAUAAGCUUUUGUAAUAAUGAAAUUCUCUUUUAUCAUUAAAAUUAACCCAACUAAUUAUUUACUUAAAAGUCGCGCCCAAAUCAAAACUCUUAUACUGGGAUAUCUUCAUCUUUGUUUUGGCCUAAAAUUUGGAGCAGCAAAUACUUCAUUUUAUGUUUUAUUUAAAUGGACAUAUUGGAUAAAUUACAGGCCGUGAAAUAUCAUGUCACAUACUUUUAUUUUCUUACAUACACCAUAUUAGUCAUUCAAAGUUCGUAUGAAUCUGCAAAAUCUAGUUUAAUUGUCAAUGUUGAUAUUGUUGGACUAGACAUAAUCAUUCGGAUUCUAAUAUGAUAUCUCAUAGUUGUGUUGUAUAUGAAUUUAUUUAUGUUGAUGUUUUUCAAUUUGUGUACAAAAAAGAAAAUGGAGGAGUUCUUUAGAAUAGUAAGAUAGGUUUAUAUAUAUGAAAGUAGCAUGUGAUUUUUUUUACUAUAUAGUACUUUUUUUAACUAUACAAUACUUGUAAGUUAAGGAAUCAAUCAUGCAAAUUAAAAUUAUAAUAUGAAUAUGUAAUUUAUAAUGAUUGUGUAUAAAUCAAUUAACAGAGAAAGCAGAAGACUUGUCAAAAAAAAAAAAAAGAGAGAGAAAGCAGAAGAUAUAAUAUGAAUAUGUAAGUUAUAAUGAUCGUAUAUAAAUCAAUUAACAGAGUGAAAGCACAAGAUAUGGACCUAAGAUCCUAUGGAAAAAUAAAAUAAAAAAAGAAAAAGAAGAAGAGACGAUUUAAUUUGAUAGCUAUACCAGCCCCAAAAGCAUAACAAAAUAUUAUAUUUUAAAACAUAAAUUGAGUAUCCAUUAUUACCAUUAUGCAACACUUUUAGUUUUCCUCAUGUCGCCUAGCGGGUAGAAAACUUGGAACAUAAUUGAUUUUUUGUUUUUGAAGGAUUGGAACAUAAUUGAUGAGGAGCUACAAGAUAACCUUUUCACUAAAAAAAUUCAAAAAGAAAAGAGAGAGAGCUCCAUUACACGUGAAAAAGAAAAAGUGGAUCCGGAUAUUCGUAAGACAAAUAGAUUAAAAAAUAAUUCCUGGCAAAAAAUAAAAUUUACUCAAAGAUAACUAUAUUUUAAAAAAUAAUGCUGUGUCAAAUAAUUGGAUUUUGGAAUAUUAUCAUAUCUUAAAUAAAGUUUAUAGAACGAUUCAUCAUUGAUCAUGUUUAAACUCGAUUACUUGGUUGAAGAUACAUUCCUUUAACAGUAGGGUAACAAAAGUAUUAAAUAUGACCCCUAAAAAAACAUAUAUUAAAUAUCAACCUAGUUACCGACAGAGAAAGAAAGGAUUACAUGCAACGACGUGCUCAUAAAGGAUCCAACGGCCACAAUUUGAUUAGAUAUUGUUGUCAAAAAUGUGACCAAGUAACUACGUGGUACAUGCACGUCACAAAUGGUAACAAAUGCAAAAGUCAAAGUAGAUUCACAUCAAUCAAUUCCACAAUACGUGUCCUUUGUGUUUGGUUUGUAGUUUUCUGUGAAGGUUCCCAGUUUGAAUGAAUACUUGCAAACAAAGUCCAAAAAUAUUGAUAGGGAAACCAUAGAAAGGUUAUCGAAAUUGAAUUUUAAUAUGUAAUAAUACGUACAAAUUUGUGUUUUAAGAUGUUACAAAUGAACGAAGAAACAGAAUAUGAUGCUACCAUUCACAUGCAUCAUGUGUUUUUCGUGCUUUUUUCCUUCGCACUAUAUAACAACAUUCCUCAAAAUGAAUCAACUCGUUUGUUCAAAUUUUGAAAAAUUCGUGAAUGAGACUACGUUGAUUCGGAUAGCUUGGAUUAUUGAGGACUGUUAUAUAAAACGAAAAAUGCCUCAUGAAUUAAUCUUUAGAGCCAAUCAAAUUUGCUUCCGGGCGGAAAACACGGGGGGUGGGAUGUUAAGUUGUGUUGAUAUAUUUUUCAACGUCAUGUGAUAUACAUCUUUGGGAUGAUUUCGCUUUCCCUUUCUAGCUAUACAUAUCAUUUCCCUUGCUGAUAAAUUUGAGUAGAUUUGUUUCGUUUGGCAUUUAGUAAUUUUGAGAUUAUGACAAACAUUUUUGAAAGUACAAGUAAAAAAAUGCUAUUUUUUUUUUCAAUACUAUCGUAGAAAGAUUAAACUUUAGAAGAAAUUACACUUGUAUUUUUGGAUAGUUUUAAAUCUUUAAGAAGUUAGAAUUUUGUUAAAAAAUUUAGCUUGAUAACCUUAGAAGUAUGGAUUCGUGAUGACUUUUGUAAUAUUACUUUUUUUUGUUUUGUUGCAACGUUAGAUUUUUGAAGUUUUAACAAAAAUAACAAUCAAAGUAACAUUGUCAUUGUGAUAUCGUCAAUUAUACACUAAUUUGAUAUUGAUCCAUCAUCUGAUAUGAAGACGUACAUGCAUGAUGUGUCAAAAUAAUUUUUAUGUCAAAAUAGCUUUGGUAGUUUCAAAAUCAAGAUCAUUAGUUAAACUUGAAUAAUCUCUCCCAUCCAAAUGUUUUUGGAUCUGAUUUUGUUGGAACACUCAACCUCAAAGAUCAUUUAAUUUUCGAGGUAUUUGUUUGCAUGCUAAUUUUUAGUGAAAAAGAUUGAUGGACACCCAAUGCAUCUCUCUCUCUGGUUGAAAAUGUAUGACACGUCUAUGGAAUUGGUGGAUGAAAUGUUUAAAUAUCACCAUCCUAAUUUUUUAGAAGGAUUCGAGAUUUAAUGUUUACAACUGUGUUUGAAAAUUUUGGGGUCUUAGGGUGCGUUUGUUUUGCUAAAAAAUGAAAGACAAGACAGAACAACUCUAAUUGUCCAGUGUUUAAUUUGUAAAACUGUUUCAGGUACAUGACAACUUGGAGGCAAGGGACAGGACCAAAACUCAUAUUUUUGUCCCUCACCAAACCACAUCACAACUUUUUGUCCCACGUACAAGUUGUCUAAAAUAGCAAAAUAGUUUUUAUUCCUCAAAAAUCGUAUAAAACAAAAAAUUACUCAAUGCCAUAAAAAAUUUGUCAUGUGUUGUUCUACCUUGUGUUGUAUUGUUCUAUCUUCUACUGUUCUGUCUAGUACUUGCUGUUUUGCAAACCAAACACAUCCUUAGAGUUUUGACAAGAUAAAUUAAUUACUCAAUAAAUCUAAAAAAAUCAAAUAUUUUUUAUAAAUAGGACCGGAAGGAAUACUUAAUUGUAUGCAAUGCCUCCCAUGUUUUUCGGUAAUGACCAAAUUCAAUUAGCUAAGCACUUUUCGGGAUGAUUUCUCCCGCGAGCAAUAGCAUUGCUAAAAAAAAUAUACAUACAUAAACUAUCAGUUUCAUACUAUUAAUCUUCUGAUUUGUUUUAGCCACAAUUUUAUAAUCAAGCAUUCUUAACAUUUCAUUCUUAGUAAAUAAAAUCUUUAAUUUACUAAAUCUGUUGAUGAUCUUAGAUAGAUUUGGAGAAAAUAUUAAAAAGUUAAACUAUAUUUGUAUGUAAAGGAGUAAAUAAUAGUUUUAUCAAUGUAAAAAAAUUAGUAAAUACGAUUUAUUGGGUCAAUUAGCUUAAUUGCAAGAAUCACAUCCUUUUUUAGUGUUCCUUUCUUUUGAGAUAUAUCAGGAAUUACUUAUAUAUGAAUAGAAGGCAAACGAACAAUAAGAUGCGUCGAUAGAUCUUUUUGAAUGACACAUACCUUAAACGCAAAGAAGUGAGAAAUCACAUACAUCGAAUAAUUCUACAACUAUCAAUUAAGUUGUGCGCACCAUUAAUUGAUGAUUACACUUCAAUCAACCUUUGGAAAGUUGUUACAAUGUUAAUUGAUGAUUACACUACAAUGACACACUUUUAAAAAAAUUGUGGUACACGGUUAAUUGAUGAUUCCAUUACGAGGAGACUUUUACAAAAGAGGAAUGUUAGCAACACUCUCUUUUGAACACUCUCUCUAGCACUCACUCUUUUCUUGAGUGAAAUUAAUGUAUGUCCCACCACUUUAUGUGAGUUGUAUUUCCAAAGUGUAGGUCCUACAUUAAUUUUAAUAAAAAAAUGUUUUACGGAAAAUGCUAAUCCUUCGAGGGGAUGGGAUUGAAUGAGAAUUUUAAAGGGGUAACUUUUGCAUAUAUUUGUUAAUUUUUUUAAGUGUCUUAUACUUAUAUUUUGAGUACUGCUAUAUUGUAUGAGAUUUAUCAACGAAAUUCAUGGAAUGCACACUUGUCCAAUUUUUAAGGAAUAAAAAGAGGGUUAUGAAGUUGUUUAACAUAAAUCAUGGAGUAGUGACCAAUUAUUCCGAUCCAUAAGCAUUUUCAUUAUCAUUUUACGGAUUACAUAGGAUUGUUAGCUUUGUGAAUUUGGAAUAAACUGCAUUCGUCAUUUUUCAUUGUGUGUCUCUCUCGUACCAUCAAGCAUUAUCAUUUUUUAGAUGAGUGUUUUUUUUUU